rnacentral:rRNA from 1 species
GAUGAACGCUGGCGGCGUGCCUAAUACAUGCAAGUCGAGCGAACAGAUGAGGAGCUUGCUUCUCUGACGUUAGCGGCGGACGGGUGAGUAACACGUGGAUAACCUACCUAUAAGACUGGGAUAACUUCGGGAAACCGGAGCUAAUACCGGAUAAUAUUUUGAACCGCAUGGUUCAAUAGUGAAAGACGGUUUUGCUGUCACUUAUAGAUGGAUCCGCGCCGCAUUAGCUAGUUGGUAAGGUAACGGCUUACCAAGGCAACGAUGCGUAGCCGACCUGAGAGGGUGAUCGGCCACACUGGAACUGAGACACGGUCCAGACUCCUACGGGAGGCAGCAGUAGGGAAUCUUCCGCAAUGGGCGAAAGCCUGACGGAGCAACGCCGCGUGAGUGAUGAAGGUCUUCGGAUCGUAAAACUCUGUUAUUAGGGAAGAACAAAUGUGUAAGUAACUGUGCACAUCUUGACGGUACCUAAUCAGAAAGCCACGGCUAACUACGUG